rnacentral:rRNA from 1 species
UACGAAGGGGGCUAGCGUUGCUCGGAAUCACUGGGCGUAAAGGGUGCGUAGGCGGAUUUCUAAGUCAGGGGUGAAAGCCUGAGGCUCAACCUCAGAACUGCCUUUGAUACUGGAAGUCUUGAGACCGGAAGAGGUAAGUGGAACUGCGAGUGUAGAGGUGAAAUUUGUAGAUAUUCGCAAGAACACCAGUGGCGAAGGCGGCUUACUGGUCCGGUUCUGACGCUGAGGCACGAAAGCGUGGGGAGCAAACAGG